rnacentral:rRNA from 1 species
CUCGUAGGUGGCCAACUAAAGCCAGACGUGAAAUCCCUCGGCUUAACCGGGGAACUGCGUCUGAUACUGGAUGGCUUGAGUUCGGGAGAGGGAUGCGGAAUUCCAGGUGUAGCGGUGAAAUGCGUAGAUAUCUGGAGGAACACCGGUGGCGAAGGCGGCAUCCUGGACCAACACUGACGCUGAGGAGCGAAAGCCGAGGGGAGCAAACG